UAGGGAAUCUUCCACAAUGGACGCAAGUCUGAUGGAGCAACGGCCGCGUGAGUGAAGAAGGUUUUCGGACCGUAAAGCUCUGUUGUUGGUGAAGAAGGAUAGAGGUAGUAACUGGCCUUUAUUUGACGGUAAUCAACCAGAAAGUCACGGCUAACUACGUGCCAGCAGCCGCGGUAAUACGUAGGUGGCAAGCGUUGUCCGGAUUUAUUGGGCGUAAAGCGAGCGCAGGCGGAAGAAUAAGUCUGAUGUGAAAGCCCUCGGCUUAACCGAGGAAUUGCAUCGGAAACUGUUUUUCUUGAGUGCAGAAGAGGAGAGUAGAACUCCAUGUGUAGCGGUGGAAUGCGUAGAUAUAUGGAAGAAUACCAGUGGCGAAGGCGGCUCUCUGGUCUGCAACUGACGCUGAGGCUCGAAAGCAUGGGUAGCGAACAGGAUUAGAUACCCUGGUAGUCCAUGCCGUAAAACGAUGAGUGCUAAG
rnacentral:rRNA from 1 species